AAGUAGUUUUAUUCUGGCUAAAGUAUUUAAUUUUGUCUUUGAUUUGUAUAUGUAAGUUUUUGCGUGGAUAGUUUCUAUCUCUUAAUGGAUUAGGAUUUAUUUAUUUUGUUAUUAUUUAUUAUUCACAUUAUUUAUUUUUAUAUAUCUUGUUAUUAAGGAUUUAGUAAUAGAUUUUAGUGCCGGUUAAGUUUGUGCCAGCAGCCGCGGUUAUACAUUAGGUGCUAUUGAAUAUUAUUGGUUGUGCAGUUUUAUAUUGGAUUUUUUGGUUGUAAUUAUUUUAUUUUUAGGUGAAAUUUUUAUUCUUUUUCUUACUUGUAAUUUAUUUAUAGGCUGUGAAAUUUUUAUUUUAGACUAGGAUUAGAUACCCUAUUAUUAUUUGAUGUUAAUAUUAUUUCCUGGGUAUUAAUAGGUAUGACCUUGAAACUCAAAGAAUUUGGCGGUAUUUUAUACCUUUCAGAGGAAUCUGCUCCGUUAUCGAUAAUCCACGUUGGACCUUUCUUAAUAAAAUUUUGUUUGUAUGCCGCCGUUAUAAUGAAGAUCUUUAUAGUGUUAAAAUUUUCUGGGUUCAUAAUUGUGAAUUAUUUCAGGUCAAGGUGCAGCUUGUUGUUAAGUGUGAAGUGGAUUACAUUUAUUUUUGGUGUUUUGGAUUAUUAAUUGAUAUAUUUAUAUGAAAUUGGAUUUGAUUGUAAUUUAUUAAAGAUUAUUUUUAUGAUAUUGGUUCUAUAAUAUGUACACAUCGCCCGUCGCUCUCAUUUGUUGUUGAGAUAAGUCGUAACAUAGUGGUCGUACCGGAAGGUGUGGCUGGAUUGAU
rnacentral:ncRNA from 1 species